GCCGAAGUGGUGGAAUUUGGUAGACACGCCAUCUUGAGGGGGUGGUGGGAGCAAUCCCGUGCGGGUUCGAAUCCCGCCUUCGGCACCA
rnacentral:tRNA from 1 species